rnacentral:tRNA from 1 species
UCCCUGGUGGCUUAGAGGUUAAAUAAAGCAUCUGCCUAGAAUGCGGGAGACCUGGGUUCGAUCCCUGGGUUGGGAA